ensembl:lncRNA
AUGUGCACGGGGACGUGUGGCCAUGAAAAAUACGCAGUCAGAAGGACCCAGAGGAACCCUGCAGAGCUGACAGCAGGCCAGCCCUGCUUAGUGCAUCCCGCCGCGGUGAGCAGUCCAAGCAAAACAGUAGCAAGCGGACAAAGGAAGAAGAAUGUGUGCAGGGUGCGCCCGACCUGUGUGUGUGUGUGCCUGAGUGCGUGUGUGUCUGAGUGGGUCUGCUUGUCUGUGUGUGUGUGUGCGCGUGUGCCUGUGCUGAGUGGGUCUGCUUGUCUCUGUGUGUGUGUGCCUGAGUGUGUGUGUGUGUGCGUGUGUGUGCCUGUGUGUCUCUGUGUGUGCGUGUGCCUGUGUGUGUGUGCCUGAGUGUGUGUGUGCCUGUCUGUGUGUGUCUGUGUGUGUGUGUAUGCCUGAGUGCGUGUGUGUCUGAGUGGGUCUGCUUGUCUGUGUGUGUGUGUGUGCGUGUGCCUGUGUGUGUGUGCCUGUCUGUCUGUGUGUGUGUGUGCCUGAGUGUGUGUGUGUCUGAGUGGGUCUGCUUGUCUCUGUGUGUGUGUGCCUGAGUGUGUGUGUGUGUGCGUGUGUGUGCCUGUGUGUGUGUGUGUCUGUGUGUGUGUGUGUGCGAGUGUGUGUGUGUGUGUGUGUGUGCGUGUGUGUGUGUGCGUGUGUGUGUGUGUGUGUGUGUGUGUGUGUGUGUGUGUGUGUGUGUGUGUGUGUGUGUGUGUGUGUGUGUGUGUGUGUGUGUGUGUGUGUGUGUGUGUGUGUGUGUGUGUGUGUGCGCCUGAGUGUGUAUGCCUGAGUGCGUGUGUGUCUGAGUGGGUCUGCUUGUCUGUGUGUGUGUGUGCCUGAGUGUGUGUGUGUCUGAGUGGGUCUGCUUGUCUCUGUGUGUGUGUGCCUGAGUGUGUGUGUGUGUGCGUGUGUGUGCCUGUGCCUGUCUGUGUGUGUGUGUGUGUGUGCGUGUGCCUGUGCGUGUGCCUGUGUGUGUGUGUGCCUGAGUGUGUGUGUGCCUGUCUGUGUGCUUGUCUGUGUGUGUGUGUGUGUGUGCCUGAGUGUGUGUGGGGGGGGGGGGGGGGGGGGGGGGGGGGGGGGGGGGGGGGGGGGGGGGGGGGGGGGGGGGGGGGGGGGGGGGGGGGGGGGGGGGGGGGGGGGGGGGGGGGGGGGGGGGGGGGGGGGGGGGGGGGGGGGGGGGGGGGGGGGGGGGGGGGGGGGGGGGGGGGGGGGGGGGGGGGGGGGGGGGGGGGGGGGGGGGGGGGGGGGGGGGGGGGGGGGGGGGGGGGGGGGGGGUGUGUGCCUGUCUGUGUGUGUGUGUGUGUGUGUGCCUGUCCUCUGUGUGUGUGUGUGCGCGUGUGCCUGUGUGUGUGUGCCUGAGUGUGUGUGUGUGUGCGUGUGUGUGCCUGUGUGUGUGUGUGUGUGUGCUGCAAGUGGAGUAGCCACGGAGUAAUAAAGGUAAUAUAUAGUUACAAAUGCUUUGUUUUGGUAGUAAGAAGUGUCAGGUAACUGUAGCAUAGCAGUUGUUCAUUUAUAGAACAAAUGUAAUACUGUGCUGUUACUUACAUGAUUAUUUAGCCCUGUCUAAGCAUGCACACGUGCUCGCGUGCCCAGCGGUACGCGCAUAGGCGUGUGUGCACGCGGGUGUGCCCCGCAGCGUGUGUGACCCGGAGAGGUCCCGGCGAGGGUGGCACGACGCUGCCCCGCGGUGACAAAAAGCAUGGUGCGGCCCACCGCUCUCGUCCAUUCACAAUCCGCGCUCGGCCGGCAGCGCGGACGGAUUUUCUUUUUUUUGUGAAUGGAGUCGAUGACGUCGCCGCGCCCGCGCGCCGCCUGCCCUCCAUUCAUGCGGCCCCGGCGCGCCGUGAAUGGGCGGGGC